CCUACGGGAGGCUGCAGUAGGGAAUCUUCCACAAUGGACGAAAGUCUGAUGGAGCAACGCCGCGUGAGUGAAGAAGGGUUUCGGCUCGUAAAGCUCUGUUGGUAGUGAAGAAAGAUAGAGGUAGUAACUGGCCUUUAUUUGACGGUAAUUACUUAGAAAGUCACGGCUAACUACGUGCCAGCAGCCGCGGUAAUACGUAGGUGGCAAGCGUUGUCCGGAUUUAUUGGGCGUAAAGGGAGUGCCGGCGGUUCAAUAAGUCUGAUGUGAAAGCCUUCGGCCCAACCGGAGAAUUGCAUCAGAAACUGUUGAACUGGAGUGCAGAAGAGGAGAGUGGAACUCCAUGUGUAGCGGUGGAAUGCGUAGAUAUAAGGAAGAACACCAGUGGCGAAGGCGGCUCACUGGUCUGCAACUGACGCUGAGGCUCGAAAGCAUGGGUAGCGAACAGGAUUAGAUACCCGGGUAGUC
rnacentral:rRNA from 1 species